rnacentral:lncRNA from 10 species
AUGGAUGAAACAACUAAAAAUCUGAAGAUUUUAUAAGAUUUCCAUAUGCUGUAGACCACAAGGACGAAGGCAGUUGUUGUCCUACCUGGAAGCAGGCAGUGCCUUGACUCAUUUGCUCCAGACCCUGUCUCUGACAUGCUUGGCAGACAUUCUCCCCAGAUGAGUCACUCCUGAGACCUGCAUUUGAGUGGAUCUUCCAUGUCCUGCAACCCUGAUUUCCACCUCAGCCAUUCUUACCCUUAUUACCUUAUCCAUGUCAUUAUUGAACUUGCUCCCUGCUAUAGACUUUGCAUGUGUGUGGACCUCCAAAAUUCCUAUUUUGAAAUCUAAUCACUGAUAUGCAAUAGAAUUAAGUGGUGAGGACUUUUGAGAGGUGACUGGGUCAUUGAUAUGGUUUGGCAGUGUCCCAUCCAAAUCUCAUCUUGAAUUGUAACUCCCACAAUUUCCACAUGUCAUGGGAGGGACCUGGUGGCAGGUGAUUGAAUUAUGGGGGCAGCCCUUUUCCUGCACUGUUUUUGUGGUAGUGAAUGAGUCCCAUGAGAUCUGAUGGUUUUAAAAAGGGGAAUUUCCCUGCACAAGUUCUUCUCUUGUCUGCCACCAUGUGAGACGUGCCUUUCACCUUCUGCCAUGAUUGUGAGACCUCCCCAGCUACGUGGAACUGUAAGUCCAAUAAAUCACUUUCUUUUGUAAA